UGUUGGUGGUUCAUCCACCAAGGUGUGACUAUAGGAAGCACAUCCUCUGUUUCCCUACAGGAUUGAGAUGGGCCAUGCUGAGCCACAGCCCAUGGGGAGAGAGUAAGCCUGGCAGAUAUGAUGACUGCUAAUGCUUGGUCUUCUGGCAGCGGCUUUGUUUUUCAUUAAUGAUCGCUUUGAUGUAGGUUGAAGGAGCCCCAGUGUCUCCUGGGAUGUAUCUCACUCUCAGAAGAAAUGGAGUCUCUGGUUUGAGGAGGGGCAAAGAAGGCAGAGCAACAUGGACAUUUGCUGCUUCUCUGAUCCCUGAAAUGCAUCCAGGUCAGCACCAGACCAUUUUGCACAAAUAGAAAAUUGAUCUGAGGACUCACACAACAAUCUACAUUGGGCCACAGAACUUGACAGAUAUUUAUUGAUCUGUUAUUUGCUUGGCACCAUUCUAAAGGAUGAAGAUAUAGUAAUGAAAAAAUAUUCCUGUCCUCACAGAGUUCUUAGUGCGGCAGGGGAGAUAUACAAUGGAAUAAAAAGAUUUUUGGUGAACUCCAUGCUCUCUGUAAUUCCAUCGUGUUCAGAUGUGGCUUACUGCUCUGGUUGAGAGAGAAUGUUUCAGAGCCCGCUACCUCAUCAUCAUACCAUAACAGCCCUACCUCCAGAGGUACUAUGUCUCAAAUCGCCCUUCUUAAUUCUUCACAAUUAACUAUGAAAACCAUCAUAUCUGGUCCAGAUCCCUGCAUAACCUCUUCCCAGAGCUGCCACCAGGGACGCUAAGUUGCUCUGGCAUUUGAUAUGCAAGGAGUGUCUGCAGUCCAUGCCGUCCGGUUUUGCCAGGACGACGUUGAAACCUCCCUCCUGGCGGGGGCGCGGGCCAAGUUCUUGGCGCCAGAGCCGCCGGGUCAGCGCUCGUGUUUAUUCAGAUGCAAAUGAGCCGGCGGCGGCGG